GGUUUCAUAGAAUAGUGGUUAGCAUGUCUGCUUUACAUGCUGAAGGUCCUGGGUUCAAGCCCCAGCAGAGCCA
rfam:Pteropus alecto contig38501, whole genome shotgun sequence.